GCCCUUGUAGCUCAAUCGGUAGAGCAGUUGGCUCUUAACCAUCAGGUUCUCGGUUCAAUCCCGAGCGGGGGCACCA
rnacentral:tRNA from 1 species